AAAAGUUCCUACAUCCUGGUAAAGAGGGAGUUAAAUAUCCCACACCAUAAACUCACACUCUCACUCUCUUCUUGCCUUCUCCCCUCUUCCUUCUCCUACUAUGAGAGGAAUUGAACUCUUGACCCCAAACUACAAAAUAAAUAGUUUGCUGAGACCGCUGCUUGCAUACAUUGAGCACCUUCCGCAGGUAACUGUAACACUACAUUCCUGUUGGAAGCAUUGCUUACCUCCCUUAAGAGGGGAUUUCAGCAAGAUCAUUUCCAUUUGGUGUGUGGAAAGACAGUACAUCUAGCUGUUGGGAUGAACAAUGAUGAGAGCUAAAGUCAACUGUGAAAUACAUAAGGCGAAAAAGGAAGGAUUUGGAAAAAAGAAAAACAUUACAUGAGGAAGAAUAUGCUUACUCCAAAACAGACCUGAAUUGUACCAACACCACACAAGAAAUGUAAACAUUAUGUACUGCAGGUGUGUACUGAUGAAAAAACCCCACAUUUUAUAAAAAAAGUGUAAAGACAGAACAAAAAAGUAAAAAUAAUGACAUUAUCUGA